AUUGAACGCUGGCGGAAUGCUUUACACAUGCAAGUCGAACGGCAGCACGGACUUCGGUCUGGUGGCGAGUGGCGAACGGGUGAGUAAUGUAUCGGAACGUGCCCAGUCGCGGGGGAUAACGUAGUGAAAAUUACGCUAAUACCGCAUACGAUCUAUGGAUGAAAGCGGGGGAUCGCAAGACCUCGCGCGAUUGGAGCGGCCGAUAUCAGAUUAGGUAGUUGGUGGGGUAAAGGCCCACCAAGCCAACGAUCUGUAGCUGGUCUGAGAGGACGACCAGCCACACUGGAACUGAGACACGGUCCAGACUCCUACGGGAGGCAGCAGUGGGGAAUUUUGGACAAUGGGCGAAAGCCUGAUCCAGCCAUUCCGCGUGCAGGAUGAAGGCCCUCGGGUUGUAAACUGCUUUUGUACAGAACGAGAAGGUUUCUACUAAUACUAGGAGCUCAUGACGGUACUGUAAGAAUAAGCACCGGCUGACUACGUGCCAGCAGCCGCAGUAA
rnacentral:rRNA from 1 species